GUGUUAACCCAGAUCAAAUGCCUCGUUCCCUGGGCCGCCUCAUUGUGAGGGGAAGUAUUGCGACAAGUCACUAACUCUUCGUUUGCCCAAUAUCUCGCUUUUCCUUUUGCGGUGGCCUUAUGGGUUAUGCACUGACCAUCUAAGCCACAGGCUGUGAGUUUGAGCACCAACUAGGGUUAAUCACAGUAUAGUGGCGUAGUGGAAGUGUGCUGGGCCCAUAACAUUGAGGUUGAUGGCCCAAAACCAUCCUCUGAAAAAAUAUUUUUGUUUUACAUAUAAAGGUCCAACUUGCAAGACGUUUCGCUCAACAGGCAAAAGAAUUGAAAUGUCCAGGGUUUGAACCAGGACUCUCAGCUCCUCUUUCAUACAUGAGAUUAGGUAAAAUAAGAAAAAAGCAGCAGCUUUCACAACGCACGCAACUAGAAAGUGAACCUAUAAAGAAGUCACCUUAGCAGAGGAUGCGUGCUGGGCCCAUAACCCAGAGGUCGAUGGAUCGAAACCAUCCUCUGCUAAGACGGGUUUCGUGCCAUUGCUUGCAUGAGAAUAAAUCCUUUACGAUUUUCAUAGCUCGAUAGUGAAAAACAAAGUAAUCUUGAACUCGCAAAUACAGCAUCAAGGUUUGGAAAAGAAGUCAAAAUAGUCCUUAUACAGAACUGCAUUUGUGUGUUAACCCAGAUCAAAUGCCUCGUUCACUGGGCCGCCUCAUUGUGAAGGGGAAGUAUUGCGACAAGUCACUAACUCUUCGUUUGCCCAAUAUCUCGCUUUUCCUUUUGC
ensembl:processed_transcript